AGAAGCGCCCUUCUGCCUUUCCCCCAGCACCGAGCUCGAUGUUAAUAGACCAGUUUAAUACCAGAGCCCCUGAGCACAUAAAUAAAACCAGACAGGCCCUACCUGUAUUUUAUAUGGCUAGCGAGAGAUGAAUACAUGCUUUUGUGAUUAUGAUUAAUGCUGCUGUUUAUUAUUUUUAUUGCAGUAGUGGUUUAAAUAUCACUAUCCUGUCCUUUCUAAGUGCAGUAAAAAUCCAUUGGAAAAAGAUAGUUUCUGUUUCAGGCAGAUGACACCCCAUUGGAGCACUUUUGAUCUGGAACAGCUUUCUUCCUGGGAAAAUAAGCAUCAAGAAAACCUAAGGAGUGUUAAGGGUCCAACUGAAAAGCAAAGGAAAAAGUGAAGUUGAGUUUCUUCAUUUGCCAUCAAACUGAAGUGAGAACCUGGAAGGCACACACUGAGUGGUGUCAAGACUUCAAGAAGGGAAACAGUGAUGUGCCAAGCUGGAGGAUUCUCUUGCUGCCCUGGGAUUGCAUGUUGAUGUGAUGCUGCUCAGUAGCAUCUGUGCCAGGCACCAAAAUACCUACACAAAGUAUGGCAGCCACCAGCUCUGCUCCACAGCACCUGGAGCACCUUUGUUAAUGCCAAGACCUGUGUUGAGCUCCUGAGCAACUGAGAACAGGUUUUGACACCUGUAGGUGGGAGGGUAACAGAAGUCUUCACACUGGGUCUUGGUUUAGGCAAGUGGAGAUGAGAAAUUGGCAAGGAAAAUGUGGUAGGAGGACACCCUUUUAUACUCUGUUCCAGGUCAAAUUCCCCUCAAAGUUGCUCUGCAGCAGGUAGAAGAAUCACUGGUCUUGUGUAUAUUCAAACAACCCUAAACAGAGGCAAGCAGGGUGAUAAUUCUUUCCUAAGGAUGGGAUGGGGAUAAUGUGCAGUAAACUAAUCACAGGGUCACCCAAAGCAUGAUGACAAUAAAGCACAAUAUUGACCAGCUGCUCCCUUUGUGCUGAAUGAAGCAGGGCUGCUGGGGAAGAAAUUAGAUCAUUACCACAGACAGUGUCAUGAUGUGCUGGUGGCCAGAACAAGCUGGCUUUGCCAUCUCCCGAACUUCAAGUGCAAUUUUUCAGACUCUUUCAUGUCAUGGUGUACACAUGCAGACACAAGUACGUAGUCAUGUGUGUUCACUGCAGAAACUGACUUAUUAGAGAAUUAAUCCUAAUUGUAGCCAUACAGAUAAAUGAGACUCUGUUCAUGCUACUGCACAGUCAAAGACAGUUCUGUAAAGAAUGUCAAGGUUUGCCUUUAGGUUUACAGAUGUUUUCCUGUAUGCAAAACAACAACAUAUUGUUUUGCAUUCAGUAAAACCCUCACACUGCUAAUAAACACAAGCAGAAAUGUGUGUGGCUGCAGCACAUUUCCCUCAGUGCUUUCAAAUACAAAACCAGUGACCACGCAUUCAUGGUGAACCAAUGUCUAUCUCUCAUUUCUGAUCUCUGUGUUACAUUUGGAUGCUCACACAAUUCCAUUUGCCUAAACUUUUGGGCUGGUGGCUUAAAGAUAAUUGGUCUGUAAACACUGUUGCUCUCUUCAAGAAAAGGUGCUUGAACAUGCUUUACUCCUGAGACAUAUUUUCUCUCAAUGAUUACAGAAAGCUGACUAGACUUCAGGAAAAACAGAGAGGGGAUACUAAUCCAAAAGAAUGAAAACAUUAAAUAUAGUUAAAAGUCACUCUGUUCCCAAUUUAUCAGGAUGCUAUUCUGAAGCAAAAGUUUUAAUUUAAAAAGAAAAAUUAAUUCAAUUAAAGCAGCUGCCUUCUUGUUUUAGUUCUGAGCUGCUUGAGCUCUUCACCAAAUACAUCGAAACCCACAUAUAAACCUACAUAUGCACUCACAGGGAAAGUUUUCAACAGUGUAUUACACACAAGAGCAAGCAGCAGAUUGCUUAAGAUUACCCUGACAUCCUGGACCAGUCUUGGAGCAGUAAUAUCUUCAUGUUUGCUGUCAAGGCCCGUCACCCCAGCUGACCAGCAGGGACGCCGAGGCAACCCACAUUACUCAAUCAACUUUAAGUGUUAUAAAUACUGAGGUCCAUAAAAAAGUACAAUGUAAUGAUGACUUAAACAAACCCAAUUCAUCAUCCCAGCUGCACACAUAUCAUUUCCCUCAGGGUGACCAACCAAGCAGCAGUGAAUUCAACCCAGGCCAGAUUCCGAUUCCAUUUCUCUUCAUCAAUUUGACUUUUGGGUUUACCUCCCUCCAAAGGAAAAGAAAAAAUAUCCCCUUAAAAAUGAAAAUCCCUCAAAUCAAAUACAGCUCAGCUGCUUGAGUCCCCUUUUUGUUGUUGUUGUACUCGUGUCCAUGCAUUUUGCCUCUAGUGAUAUAAAAGGAAACCCUUCAAUUUAAAGGUCAAAUGGGGGCCGUUUGUUUUAACCCAGUGAACCAUGGCAAUGGUAUUCACAUAUAUUAUCUUUUGUCCUUCAACAGUUGUUAGACUUGUAGCCAGAGGGGAGGCUUGGCAGAUUUGCUUGCACUGUUUUUUUACGAUAUAAAAAAUACAAAAUUUC